AAGUCGUAACAAGGUUUCCGUAGGUGAACCUGCGGAAGGAUCAUUAACACGUAUCCAACGUAAAAACAACCCCGUGAACCUUCAGACGUGCUCUCUUUAGCAAUCCCUGGUAAAUCAUUGUCAAACAGAUUUUGAGUCAGGGACUUCUUGGAUAUGGAGCAUCACGCGUAAGCGGCCUGGCACCCUAGCAAUCUGACAGUGGUUGCGCAAGGGUGGCGCAGUAAACGAUCGCUGGAGGCCCACACGGCCGGCGGACGGGCCCCUGUGCCUACCACAGCACCUAACGACCCCAAUGUCUUGAAGCGGUGCGCUGUAACAACCGCACCACCAACCGAACAACUGUUAACAAUGGAUAUCUUGGUUCUC
rnacentral:misc_RNA from 1 species